rnacentral:rRNA from 1 species
AGGCGUUUGACUAAGCGAUGAGAGUCGAGACGCGCAAGACCUCGGUGUACUCCUCAGUUACACGUGGAUAAUCUACCCUGAAGUAGAGGAUAAUCAAGGGAUUCUGGGGGUCCUACUCCAUAGGGCGAAAUUACUGGAUUGUUUAACGAACGCAAGAUCCGUCGCUGCAGGAUGAGUCUGCGGCCGAUUAGGUAGUUGUUGGGGUAACGGCCCAACAAGCCUGUCAUCGGUACGCCUUGUGGGAGCAAGAACCCGGAGAUUUAUUCUGAGACACGAAUCCAGGCCCUACGGGGCGCAGCAGGCGCGAAAACUUUACCAUGCGGGAAACCGUGAUAAGGAAUCCCCGAGUGACAGCACAGGAUGGCUGUCCUCCAGUGUAAAUAACUGGUGUAGAAAGGGCUGGCAAGUCCCGUGCUAGCCGCCGCGGUAAUACGGGCGGCUCGAGUGGUGCCCGCUAUUAGUGGGCUUAAAGGGUCCGUAGCUGGAUGUAUAAGUCCCUUG